rnacentral:lncRNA from 1 species
AAAACGUGUACACAAAUGUUCAUAGCAGCAUUAUUUAUAAUGAUCUAAAAGUGGACACAAUCAAAGUGUCCAUCAACUGGUAAAUGAAUAAAAUCUUGUAUGUCCAUACAAUGGAGUAUUAUUUGGCUGUGAAAAGGAAUGGAAUACACAUGCUACAAUGCAGAUGAACUCUGAAAACAUUACACUAAAUCAGAGAAGCUAGUUAUAAACAAUCUCACACUGCAUGAGUAUUUAAAUUAAAUGCCCUAAAGAGGCAAAUCUAUAGACACGUAAGGUAGAUUAGCAGUUCCUAGGGCUGGCAAAGGAGGAAGAGAUUGGGGAAUUCAGUAUUAAUGUACAUGAGCUUUCAUCUGGGGGUGAUGGUUGUUCCAAUCUGUCGAUAUGUAUUUAAAACAGGGCCAGGGAUUUAAAUCAGUGUUGCCGCCACCUGCCUUGGUACAAACAACAACAACAACAACAACAACAACAACAACAACAACAACAAAAUUGCUUAAAACCAUUUGGAAUCCAGCACUGCUAAUCCAGCUCCAGUUUUCAUGGGAUGUGAAGAUUUUUAAGAGCUUUGGCAGUGGGGCUUCAGUACCUACUCUGCAAUCAAGACUGAAAGAUGACUUUUGAGACUUAUUUAUUAUUCCAGAUUCUGUGUGAAUUUUUACAGUUUCAUUUGUGCUUUUUAAAAAGGGGGACAGGUAGGAAUAGUAUGGGAAUGAACAAUAAAUUGUUACGAAUGACGUAAGCAUAUAGUAAUUCUUUUGUUUAAAGCCUUGCGUAAGUAUGUAAUUGAAUUCACUAAAAUAUAUCAUGGCACAAUUUCUGAGUUCAUGACUUACACUGUGAGUAUAAGUUUCUGCAUACACUGGAUGGGGGAGGUAAGAAAUUAAAAUGUGGCCUUUGAGGUUUUGUUGAGUUUUGAUACACUUUUAAUGUGUGUUUAAGUGGGAAUCACUAAAGGUUACGAGUGCCCUUUAGUUCAUUAGGAAUCAAUUACAAAGCCUCUUAAGCAUUAGAGUUUAAGGGUUUUACAGAACAUUGAGC